rnacentral:rRNA from 1 species
UACGUAGGGUCCGAGCGUUGUCCGGAGUUACUGGGCGUAAAGAGCGCGCAGGCGGUCGUUCAAGUCGAGUGUGAAAGCCCCCGGCUCAACUGGGGAGGGUCACUCGAUACUGAUCGACUUGAAGGCAGGAGAGGGAAGCGGAAUUCCCGGUGUAGUGGUGAAAUGCGUAGAUAUCGGGAGGAACACCAGUGGCGAAGGCGGCUUCCUGGCCUGUUCUUGACGCUGAGGCGCGAAAGCUAGGGGAGCAAACGGG